GAUUCGGGCCACUCGUGAAAUAAAAGCAACGAUGACAUGUGCACAUUGAAGGGAAUUAACGAUCGUUUCAAUGGUCGAUCAGCGAUCAUAACAAAUAACAAAGAACGAGCCCCCUCCUAUGUGUAGAACGACAGUGUGUUGACUGUAAGACGGAAGGAUCGAGCGUAGGCAGUACGCGAUAGGUAGCUGGCCGAUCGGGUACCGGAUCUAACGAUAUUUUUCUGCGACACGGCGUGGACGAGCCGCAAAGGUGAAGGCGAUCGCAGGCGGUUUCCCGGGUGUUUACGAUCUGGAAACUGACGCACGAAUCCGCGAGGAAAGCGCGGACGAGGCCGCACAAAGAGAUCCGGCAUUCCUGGAAAUUAUCACCUCCAGGAUUUGCGAUCGUGACGCGUGACGACUGGUUUGCAACAGUCGAAGCAGAGGUCGCGAGUUUUCGGUCGUUCAAGGCCGUCUGACAAUCGAAGUCGUAACCCUUCAGUGUUAGGGACACUUGAGUUCUCGUGCACUCGAUAAGUGAUAUUAUUUUUAUUAUAUUAUGCGUAUAAACACGUUCAAUGACAUUAUAUUUAAUCGAUUAUACUAGUGGCUACUGAAAGUAUUUAUCUGCACAUAUUGUUAGUUUGCUAUGAAGCUUCUUUUCAUUAGGUGUAACAUUUCGUUUUCAUAGUAUCAAAUGUUUGUAGUCGUAUGAAAGACACGUAGGAAAAAUGAGAGACGGGAGAGAAGACAGAAGUUAGGGUUACGAGAGUGUACAAACACGUUUGAAAGGAAAGUAAAAGUAAAAAUUAUAAAUACCAUGGACAACGAACGACCUCGAAUGCCCGAAAUUUCUGGCCUCUAUACUAUCGCGAUACGGUUCUCAGUAGCGUUCUUGCUGGUCAUGAAAACAAGAUUUCCUUGUCUUCCACCUUCACUUUAGAAGAAAGGACGUAUGGUACCUUCGAGUUGGAUGAAACAUUGUAGGCUCGAAGAACAGCCAGCUAAAGAUAUUAGAUACGUAUCUUUUUUUUUCCUUUUUCUUGGCUGCAGUAACUCAAGUUUAAGGGGUGAAACCACCCUUCAAAUUUCGACCCUUUGAAAGCUAACUCGAUAAAAGUUAGGUCGAAAAGUCGGUUGAAGAUAAAAAGAAACUUGUUUAACAAAAAUUGCGCGGUUUCUAACGUGCCAGAGGAGAAUGCUAAAGUCAGAUAGAAAAAUUUUCAGAGAUGUUUAGAAAGAUUGCAUCAGCCGUGUUUGCUUCACAGAAUUUCUCUUUUACUUACGCAAUUCAGUGAAAAUACAUCUCAUUCAAUUAUAAUCUAAAUUGAAAGGUAGAAUUAAAAAAUUAGAGAUAAUAAACUUCUUCUAAUCUUAAUAAAUUCAUCUUCAACGCCCCUUAUUACAAAUCCCUUAGGUCAUUUUCAGUCCAAUCGUGUUCCUCCUGCACCAAACAAUUCUCUUUCGGAGAAUUCUGUUUCUCUUCCAUUUCAUCGCGUUGCGUCGAAGUCUUUUUUCCCCGACUUUUUCUAACAAAACAAGAACAGGAUUAGAUCGCUGAAGGUUCAAAGAUCACUGCUGAGUCGGCUAAAAAGUGAAAUUCGUUUAAACUUUCUCAUUAUCCUUCCGUCAUUUCUUAUUUCCUUCGAUUAAACUCUCUUCGAGCUCGCUUGCUUUAUUUUCCUCUCGGUUCUCAAGGCGAUGUGCCUCAUCGUAGUUUCUCAGCCAAGUUGUUUCCGCUGACAGCCUGGAUUAAUCAAGUUUAAUAGGUUAAAGUCGCGUUCGUUGUUCGCCGUUUCGUCUCGCGAUAAACGCGGUCAAAAUAAUAAACAGAUGCGCUCAAAACGCGUAUUUAGCUACCUGUUCUGACCAUGACGCUGCGUCUUGCGCUCGUAUCAGGACACAGAUGCGAUUAUAUACGAUCAAAUCCUGUUAUUCUCUUCAAUCAUGCCAAACUUUUAACGAAUUCAAUUAACUUAUUCGUAUCUCCAUGAACUUUCAUCGACUCCCCCUUUGCGAGCCUUGACCACACCAGUCAUAAAUUCAUAAACCUGUAUCUAUCGUUCUAAAUUUUAACUUUUGCGUACGUUAAACGACGCAGGAUUGUGUUACAGAGUUUAGCGUUUCUUGUAUAUAUUUCUGUAUGUUUCUGUAUGUUCUUAUAUAACCGUCAAUCAUUUAUAAUCAGAGCAAGAAUAUUCUAUUAACGUCUUGUGUCCCCGUCAGACUUCCUUGUUUCAGGCUAUAUAUACAUAUACUAUUGUCAAUGGUAACUGGUUUAUAGCAACAUGAAUGUUAAGUAAAAUAUAUUUAUAUAUAUUGAUGGGAAAUUAAUGGCUAAAAAUAGUACUCAUCGUACUUUUACAGAUUCAACGAAUAAUGUAGACUUGCCGAGAAUUUAUCAGGGAAGAAAAUAGAAUUUAUAUUUAUUAACAAAUAAUAAAUUCGAAUUGUUUGUUUAAAAACUUGGUCGACAGUGUAUUAAAAUUAAAUAUGCAAUUCGCCCAUGUACCUACAUGGUAUUCAUAGUCCUUUUAUUAAUUUAAAAGAAUCUUCCUUAUCUGAUCUGUAUCUUAGAGACACAGAUAGUCUAUCUGAUUUAUGUUUUACAGAUUAAACGAGAAUAAAGAACUUUCCCAGAAUAUUCUGUGAUAAACCUGGCUAAAAGAUUCUAUUAUGACGUAUUUUCAUUCUUGCAAGCGGCAAUAUUUCAUUACAUAUCCAUCAAUCGUCUAAAACCAAUUUCAUCGUGCCAUGUAAUAAUAAACUAAUAACGUAGAAUGUAAUUGUAUAGUGUUCGUUUAUUAUUUACCGCUAUUAUAUCAAAUUAUAUCUUGUCAAAAAAGAGCGUCCAUGAGUGUAUUUCCAGGUACUUCUGAACGAUUAUACAUAGAUAUAUCCUGUAAUACAAAAGUACGAAUCGCAAAUCAUGAGAGAGAAGAUCGUGAAACGCGGAACUGAUCUGCGUAUUAAGUCGAACGUUCGAACGGUACCGCCCAUUUUGCCGAUCGAUGACCGUAUAAUACAGAUAAACGAUAAUUGCUCGCGUUUCGCUCAUAAGAACAAUUAUAAGAACUUUCUCACGUUCCUCUUUUUUCUUCUCUCUCUCUCUCUCUCUCUCUCUCUCUCUUUCUCUCUCUCUCAAAUUACCUCAUUAUCUCUUUCCAUUUGGCGAUGAAACGAUAUCGACGGUACGCUUAAUCGAAUUAAUUAAUUGCACGGUUGCGCCUAAAAUGACAUACCGAAAUAAUGGUCGAUGAAAAUUACCCAAAAGCUUAAUCCGUUUCCACGAUGUUUACUAUAUUGUGACACGUGUUGGUUCGUGCAAAACGAAAGUACACGAUGCCAAGGUCUCGGAUUAUUGAAACCUUGAUCGCAUUUGAUUGGACACUUUCGAAUUAUGUCCUUUCUUUGUUUUGGUUAAAGUGGAGGAAAUUGAAUACAUACUUCCCUUUUACCCUUGAAAAAGAAAUAUAAAUUGCUUGGUAACGUCACGAUACUCGAUUAUUUUUAUUGGUAUUACGUGGAAGAUUGAUGCAGUGUGUGUAUUUCACGAUAAACAUAUUUAACGCUGAAAGAUACACGUUUGUUUAGCCCUGUUUCUCAGAGAGUAUGACAGAUUUGGUAAGUUUGCAAACUAAACUUUUGUACGCUAGUGAAAAUAAGUUAUGUCUACGUAGGAUAAUUCCUUUUGGUGGAUAUCAUACAUAUCAUGGGGAACGAUUACGCAUUUCUUACGAUACAAAGUACGUUUUAACAAGUACAAGGAAGAUCGCACAAUUAUGUUAAAUAAUUUUUCUGAAGAAGAUUCUCAACCCUUCAAUGACAAAUGAACGGUAUUUAAAUUUUACAGUGAUCCUAUCUUAGCUUCAACUUGUAUACAUAUAUGUUGGUCUACGCGAUGUAUAUGUACAUCGAGUUAAAUCCGAUAAAUUAUACAGCAUUCAUAUGAAAUGUUACUUUUAACCCAUAACUGCUGACAUGAAGUCCAACUUUCUUUUCCUGUAAUUUUUUUCAAUCUCUCCUUAUAUGAUGUAUUAUGUAAACUAUUCUCUAGCAAAAAAACUUAGUACAUGCUGGCAUAGGUACAAUUUUCUAAUACAUGUUUGCAAUAUCUAGAGAUAUGUUGUCGAAUAAAAACAGUGCCUAAUAA